rnacentral:tRNA from 1 species
GAUUAGAUGGCUGAAAACAGGCAGUAAACUGUAAAUUUAUCUAUGAGGUUAAUCUCUCUAAUCA